GCGGCUUUACUUCCAUAUUAGAGGAGGAAUCUGUUGCCUUUCGUUGUCGCCGGCAACUUUAACUGACCAUUUCCUCGGUUCAUAUCGUGUAUACGUCGGGUUAGAAAGCAGAAGAGGAGAGGAUGGCCAGGUUGCUGAUCUUCGUGCUUGGAGAUCGCUCGUAUGGAGCUGAUUCGACGUCACACAUGACGGGGAUUCUGUUUAUGCUGGGCUUGGUGGCAGCGACGAUAUCCAUCACGGCAGUCGUCAUCUUCAACUGCGGCGACAGCAAUGAGCCGACGCCUAAUCGCAAGAACAACAUCGGGUACUACGGUGGCGGCGGCGGAGACGGCGGCGGAUGUGGCGGCGGAGGCGGCGGAUGUGGCGGCGGAGGCGGCGGAGGAGGCGGAGGCGGAGGAUGUGGCGGCGGAGGCGGAGGCUGUUGAUGUGGCGGUGGUUGCCGAGGCCAUCGUUGGCAGACCGCUACUUUGAACUCUUAGCAUCUAAAUAAGCACAAUGCCUAUCUCAUUGGUUCUUUUCUUGAUGCAAUAUAGCUCGUGUAAAUUACAAUUACAAGUGCUAUACAUGUCAUGCAGCCUUUUCUAUUUUCGUCGAUGCUCGUCGUAUACUACUCAUAAGUGACAGUGUUUAUUUCUUUCAAGAUUCAAAGACAACAUACACUACUUUGCUUCUUCGUUCUUAA